rnacentral:misc_RNA from 1 species
CAAAUCGCGCGCUCGCACCUCAUUCCGCAUUUUCCCUCGUUUUCUAGGAUCUCCACUCUCGUUUCUCUGUUUCAUUUUCUCGCUUCCCAAACAGCUUCCUGAAUCCACUAACGAUGAGUAACGACAACAAGGAUACGUUUGGCAUGUUCGAUGUCGACGCCUCCGUCCCUGCCGCCGCGGCUGCUCUUAGUGCAGAGGAUCUUGCUGACCUUGUUAACGCUCUCAUGGCAAGUAAUUGGGGCAACUUAUGCCUUAGUAAAGCUGGUGGCAGUUCACAAAAGAAUAGUGUUCAUUGUGUGAAAGUUGGAAGAAUGUUGAAAAUGGGAUUCUUUGAAUCUUUGUGAUAAAAUAAACUUGAAAGCUUGGCUGGACAACACUAAUAUUCUUGAAACUCUGUCGCCCAUUGUUGGGAAGCGCAUUGAGUUUCUAAGAGAGAUUCAGGUUUUCUUUUACUUUCCAACUCUAUUGUGUAUCAUUUUUUUAUUCAUGGUAUCUAUUAUUGUCAUGGAUUAAUUCUUCUUUUUAGUUUCAACAAUUUUCCAUUAAUCUUUGAUUACAUGAAUUUUAUAUUGUCAUGCACUUAAAGGCUUCUUGAACUGAUGUUUAAGAGCUAAAUCACUAAAUUGAUAUUUUAUUUUACAGUUAGAAACAGCUUAAAGUGUGGGUGUGUGAGGUCGGUGCAUAUUCUAUUUUGUUUUUCCACCCCAAAGAAAAAAGGGAGGUGGUUUUAGGUUUACAAAUUACCACCUUGUUCUUGAAUGAUUAGCUUUCAAAAAGUGAAUUUUCUGCACAUCAUGAAAUUAAUGCUAAUUGCAACCUUGUUCACGAGUCCUAUUAUGAGAAUCCCAAAUUUGGUCAGGGCUAUAAGAAAUUGAUAGGGAUUUUGAUGUCUUAUAAGAUUGAACAAAUUUACCAAUACCAUUAACUAUUUUCAAAUUUCAUUUUGAUAUCUAUGGUGCAUCAAAAUUUUUAAUCUUUUGAUCAAAUUGGAUGGUUUUAGUCACACACUCUCUCUCCUCACUACCAACAUAUCUCAUCGCUAUUUGAUGCUCAAUAGCUAUCAAAAUGAAAUUAUGAAAGAGUUGAUAAAUGUGAUAACGUUGAAUUUUCAAUGGUAGCUAUAAAUAAGUCGAAAAGUGGAGUUCAAAAUUCGAUUGAUGAAAAUUGGAUAAAAUUUUAAUAACUUAUAGAAAUUUUGGCUGAUUCUGCCAAGAUUAAACGAAUUGGAUAAAAUUGCUAAAACGCAAUAAGGUUUGGCUUUAUUUGGUUAAUAGCCCUCAAAAUUGUUAUGUGUUGUUCAAUUUACAAUGUUUAACAAUUUAUCCCUUUUGUUUGAUUUAAUUUAAUUUGUCGUUGGGCACUCAUAGAGAUAUGAGAUUGUGAAUGGUAUAAAAGACGUUGAGGGAAUUACGAAUGAAGUUGCAAAGAACCAAGAGGGGGAUAAAGCUAUAGAAGAGAAAGGAGUGCCUGAUUUCUGGCUUACUGCAAUGAAAACCAAUGAAGUAGUGGAUGAGGAGAUAACAGAACGUGAUGAAGGGGCUCUUAAGUUUCUUAAAGAUAUCAAAUGGUAUAGAAUUGAUAACCCUGAAGGUUUCAAGCUGGAGUUUUACUUCGACACUAAUCCAUACUUCAAAAAUUCUGUCCUGACAAAGACAUAUCAUAUGAUUGAUGAUGAUGAUCCUAUUUUGGAGAAAACAAUUGGGACGGAGAUUGAAUGGUAUCCAGGAAAAUGCUUAACACAGAAACUUCUUAAGAAGAAGCCUAAAAAGGGAUCAAAGAAUGCCAAGCCAAUUACUAAAACUGAGGAUUGCGAAAGUUUCUUCAACUUCUUUAAUCCGCCUCAAGUCCCUGAAGAUGAUGAAGAUAUUGAUGAAGAUACUGCUGAGGAGCUUCAGAAUCAAAUGGAACAAGAUUAUGACAUUGGGUCAACCAUUCGAGACAAGAUUAUCCCUCAUGCUGUAUCGUGGUUUACGGGUGAGGCUAUUCAGGGUGAUGAGCUUGGAAUAGAAGACGAUGAUGAGGAUGAAGAUAUUGAUGAGGAUGAUGAUGAAGAGGAUGAAGAAGAAGAGGAUGAGGAUGAGGAUGAGGAAGAUGAAAGCAAACCCAAAAAGAAGUCAUCAGCUGGAAACAAGAAGAGUGGAAGAACACAAGUUGGGGAUGGUCAGCAGGCUGAGCGGCCUCCAGAGUGCAAGCAACAAUAGAUUUGGAUAGCUGCAGUAGCUGAAUCAAUGAUGUUUGCAAGGGAGCAGAAAGGGAAGGGGUUUGAAGUUUUGGGGGGGUGUGUAAUUUUUUAUUUAAUUUAUUAUCUGUUAGUAAUGAUGAACAAUUGGUUUGGAGUUUUCUUCUUUCCCUUUACCCUCUUGUUUUGGAGAGAAUGUGAUAAAAAAAUAGUUAGUAGGGGCGCUUUGUUUUUGUUCGUGCAUGUGUCCGCACCUGGGAUUUUGGUGGAUGUGAAUGUUUCAUGAACUCCUUUAUAUUCGACCUCUAUUUGUCUUAUUAUUGUAUUCAUAAUCACUUCUCUGUUCUAUCUUUAGCCCAUUGCUUUAAUUCGUGGAUUUUACUUCUUAUUUGAUUCA